rnacentral:rRNA from 1 species
UACGAAGGGGGCUAGCGUUGUCCGGAAUUAUUGGGCGUAAAGAGCUCGUAGGCGGUUUGUCGCGUCGAAUGUGAAAACCCGGGGCUCAACCCCGGGCCUGCAGUCGAUACGAGCAAACUAGAGUGUUGCAGGGGAGACUGGAAUUCCUGGUGUAGCGGUGAAAUGCGCAGAUAUCAGGAGGAACACCGGUGGCGAAGGCGGGUCUCUGGGCAACAACUGACGCUGAGGAGCGAAAGCGUGGGGAGCGAACAGG